rnacentral:rRNA from 1 species
AACGAACGCUGGCGGCAGGCUUAACACAUGCAAGUCGAGCGCCCCGCAAGGGGAGCGGCAGACGGGUGAGUAACGCGUGGGAAUCUACCCAUCUCUACGGAAUAACGCAUGGAAACGUGUGCUAAUACCGUAUACGUCCUUCGGGAGAAAGAUUUAUCGGAGAUGGAUGAGCCCGCGUUGGAUUAGCUAGUUGGUGGGGUAAAGGCCUACCAAGGCGACGAUCCACAGCUGGUCUGAGAGGAUGAUCAGCCACACUGGGACUGAGACACGGCCCUGACUCCUACGGGAGGCAGCAGUGGGGAAUAUUGGACAAUGGGCGCAAGCCUGAUCCAGCCAUGCCGCGUGAGUGAUGAAGGCCCUAGGGUUGUAAAGCUCUUUCACCGGUGAAGAUAAUGACGGUAACCGGAGAAGAAGCCCCGGCUAACUACGUGCCAGCCGCCGCCGUAACAC